rnacentral:misc_RNA from 1 species
GGAGAAUCCGGUUUCCAUGAACAGGUGAGCUAAAACAAGCACAUCACUGACCACCCCCUUGAUAUCUAGCAACAUUGCUGAUCCUUGGAGCCCAGGGAAUCCCCUUGAUGCACUACUCGAUGGAACCCUUUUGCUUCCGCCAGAAGGAUAGCACCCCUCCUUGCAAGGGCAAGGCUUUCGAGAACCAGAGGGUCAGUGAUGUUUUUGUUUCUCCUGCAGGACCACCCCAAAGGAACACCACAAUGGUUCCUCGCGAUUGCUGCAACUGCGCCAGUGUUUCAUGGAACUUUGACUCUGCACGUUUUGUUCUAUCUAAUUGGAGUUGGCAUCAAUUAAUGAUAAUGAUAAUAUGAAUUAGAAAGAUGCCCCCUUUAUGAAGCUGAACUAAAUAUUCAUAUUUGUAAAAUUGGAUCGGUGAAUAUUUCAAUUGUCUGUCAUGGCACUGCUUUGCCACUUUUCAAAUUAUAUAUAUAUAUAUGCAGAAAAUGGUUGUCACUUGUUGGAACCCAUGGAAUGAGGGUUUCAG